rnacentral:rRNA from 1 species
GACGAACGCUGGCGGCGUGCCUAAUACAUGCAAGUAAAGCGAAGCGGCGGAUGGGUGAGUAACGCGUGGGUAACCUGCCCUUAAGUAUGGGAUACAAUUUGGCAACAGAUGCUAAUAACGGAUAAUAAAGAAUGGGCCUGCGAGGCAUGAGCGAGUUGGUAAGGUAACGGCUUACCAAGGCGAUGAUGCAGAGCCGAGUUGAGAGACUGAUCGGCCACAUUGGGACGGAGACACGGCCCAAACUCCUACGGGAGGCAGCAGUAGGGAAUCUGCCACAAUGGACGAAAGUCUGAUGGAGCAACGCCGCGUGAGUGAAGAAGGUUUUCGGAUCGUAAAGCUCUGUUGUUGGUGAAGCGGUAAUCAACCAGAAAGUCACGGCUAACUACGUGCCAGCAGCCGCGGUAAUAC